GAAGCCAGGCAGCAGCAGGGGAAGCAUGUGCUGUGAAUGCUACUACCAGUUACUUUCUCCCUGGAGAGAGAAAAAAAGAAGUCGAUGAUCACUUUUAGCUCAGUCUUUGCCCUAACCUGAAAAUGUAUUUAAUCUUUUUUUUUUUUUUUUUUUUGUCUUUGUCUUUGAAGAAGGAGGUUGGAGUUGGAUCCCAGAUCACCUACUGAAAGCUAUAGCUGUAGUCACACGGGUUAGUCUGCAGUCUGGAGAGCAGCCUGGCUUCUGCUUGUGAGUCUGGUGGAAGCUCUGGAGAGAAGUCCGUACUGAGGUCCUGCAAAAGACAUGACAACAGAGAAAUGUGGAAUGCUGGGCAGAUGAGGAAUCCAGGUUUCUGAAUUACAUGGAAAUGUAUAGGGAGCAUUACUUUCAGAGCAACCUAUAUGGACAGAAGAGGAAGGCAAUGGAGUAUUGGUACUGGAAUAUCAUCUGCCACUUUGGAGAAUUUAGCACUUAUUGAAAAAAAU
ensembl:lncRNA